rnacentral:rRNA from 1 species
GAUGAACGCUGGCGGCGUGCCUAAUACAUGCGAGUCGAGCGAACGGACGAGAAGCUUGCUUCUCUGAUGUUAGCGGCGGACGGGUGAGUAACACGUGGAUAACCUACCUAUAAGACUGGGAUAACUUCGGGAAACCGGAGCUAAUACCGGAUAAUAUUUUGAACCGCAUGGUUCAAAAGUGAAAGACGGUCUUGCUGUCACUUAUAGAUGGAUCCGCGCUGCAUUAGCUAGUUGGUAAGGUAACGGCUUACCAAGGCAACGAUGCAUAGCCGACCUGAGAGGGUGAUCGGCCACACUGGAACUGAGACACGGUCCAGACUCCUACGGGAGGCAGCAGUAGGGAAUCUUCCGCAAGGGGCGAAAGCCUGACGGAGCAACGCCGCGUGAGUGAUGAAGGUCUUCGGAUCGUAAAACUCUGUUAUUAGGGAAGAACAUAUGUGUAAGUAACUGUGCACAUCUUGACGGUACCUAAUCAGAAAGCCACGGCUAACUACGU